rnacentral:rRNA from 1 species
GAUGAACGCUGGCGGCGUGCCUAAUACAUGCAAGUCGAGCGAACAGACGAGGAGCUUGCUCCUCUGACGUUAGCGGCGGACGGGUGAGUAACACGUGGAUAACCUGCCUAUAAGACUGGGAUAACUUCGGGAAACCGGAGCCAAUACCGGAUAAUAUAUUGAACCGCAUGGUUCAAUAGUGAAAGACGGUUUUGCUGUCACUUAUAGAUGGAUCCGCGCCGCAUUAGCUAGUUGGUAAGGUAACGGCUUACCAAGGCAACGAUGCGUAGCCGACCUGAGAGGGUGAUCGGCCACACUGGAACUGAGACACGGUCCAGACUCCUACGGGAGGCAGCAGUAGGGAAUCUUCCGCAAUGGGCGAAAGCCUGACGGAGCAACGCCGCGUGAGUGAUGAAGGUCUUCGGAUCGUAAAACUCUGUUAUUAGGGAAGAACAAAUGUGUAAGUAACUAUGCACGUCUUGACGGUACCUAAUCAGAAAGCCACGGCUAACUACGUG